rnacentral:rRNA from 1 species
CCUACGGUGUGCAGCAGUAGGGAAUUUUGCGCAAUGGGCGAAAGCCUGACGCAGCAACGCCGCGUGAUCGAGACGCCCUUCGGGGUGUAAAGAUCUGUCAGUGGGGACGAAACUUGACGGUACCCACAGAGGAAGCACCGGCUAACUCCGUGCCAGCAGCCGCGGUAAUACGGGGGGUGCAAGCGUUGUCCGGAAUCAUUGGGCGUAAAGGGAGCGGAGACGGUGCAGCAAGUCUGAUGUGAAAGGUCGGGGCCCAACCCCGGGACUGCAUUGGAAACUGUUGAACUGGAGUACAGGAGAGGUAAGCGGAAUUCCUAGUGUAGCGGUGAAAUGCGUAGAUAUUAGGAGGAACACCAGUGGCGAAGGCGGCUUACUGGACUGUAACUGACGUUGAGGCUCGAAAGCGUGGGGAGCAAACAGGAUUAGAUACCCGGGUAGUC